GGAGGUAGUGACAAUAAAUCACAAUGCGGGACUAUCAGUCUUGCAAUUGGAUUGAGAACAAUGUACAACUCUUAUCGAUAAGCCAUUGGAGGGCAAGUCUGGUGCCAGCAGCCGCGGUAAUUCCAGCUCCAAUAGCGUAUAUUAACGUUGUUGCAGUUAAAAAGCUCGUAGUUGAAGUGUGGGUGAUCGCUGUUGUGAGACUUCGGUCUCUCGACAGUAAGUCACCCCCUUCCAGUAUCCAGUAGUGGGUAUUCAGUUACUUACUAUUGUGUGUUGGUCCUUUACUGUGAGAAAAUUAGAGUGUUCAAAGCAGGCGUUUGCUUGAAUAGAUUAGCAUGGAAUAAUAAUUGAAGGCUUUCGUGUUCGAUUUGAUUGGUUUGUUCAUGGAAGCAAGGUUAAAAGGAACAGUUGGGGGUAUUCAUAUUCACUAGUUAGAGGUGAAAUUCUCGGAUUUAUGGAAGAUGAACAAGUGCGAAAGCAUUUACCAAGGAUGUUU
rnacentral:rRNA from 1 species